rnacentral:rRNA from 1 species
CAAUAGCGUAUAUUAAAGUUGUUGCAGUUAAAGACGCUCGUAGUCGUAGGUUCGGGGCGUCCGGACCGUCUCGCCGAGUGGUACGCACUGGUCGGCGCGUCCUUCCUUCCGGAGACCGUGCCUACUCUUAACUGAGCGGGGUCGGGAGACGGAUCGUUUACUUUGAAAAAAUCAGAGUGUUUCAAGCAGGCAGCUCGCUCUUGCAUGGAUUAGCAUGGGAUAAUGAAAUAGGACUUUGGUGCUAUUUUGUUGGUUUCGAACACCGAAGUAAUGAUUAACAGGGACAGUCAGGGGCACUCGUAUUCCGCCGAGAGAGGUGAAAUUCUCAGACCAGCGGAAGACGAACACUGCGAAAGCAUUUGCCAGGGAUGUUUUCACUGAUCAAGAACGAAAGUUAGGGGAUCGAAGAU